AAGGAACUAAGGGCGCACAGUGGAUGCUG
rnacentral:rRNA from 1 species